GGACACACUCAACAGUCCCCUCUUUAAGGAUCAGAAAGCAGAGGCGGGGGGACACGCUCAGCUAACAGCUGGGGAGGCGAGAGUUGGGAUUCCAAUCCCCACUUUUCUUUCUUAUUUCUUCCCCCCCCUUUUUUUUUCUUUCUCCGAUUCAGCCCCUAGCCUGGGAACUUCCAUGUGCCACAUGCAGCCCUGAAAAGAAAAACAAAUCAAUUGACCGCUUACAUCUGGGUCUGUUUCUGAAGCCUGUUCUGCUCCAUUGACUUUAUAUGUCUACUCGUCUUUGGUCACGACUACAUUUUGACGACUUACUUUAAGGCUUGAAGUCAGUCAGAGUAAGUCCUUCAAGUGUGUUUUCCUUUCUAGGGUGUUCCCAUCGUGGCUCAGAGGAAACGAAUCUGACUAGCAUCCAUGAGGACGCAGGUUCAAUCUCUGGCCUCACUCAGUGGGUUAAGGAUCCGGUGUUGCCGUGAGCCGUGGUGUAGGUCGCAGAUGCGGCUUGGAUCCCACAUUGCUAUGGCUGUGGUGUGGGAACCUCCAUAUGCGAGGGUGUGGCCCUAAAAAGACAAAAAAGACCUCCAAAACUUCCUUUUCCUUUCUCAAAACAGUCUUUCCACCCAUGACGACAGCAUAUUCUUUGAUUUAUUUGGGGUCUGAUUUCUUUCAUCAGGGUUUUGUAGUUUCAGCACAUAGAUCUUGUACAUAUUUUGGAAGAUUUAUAUCUAACUAUUUCAUGUAUUUUGGUGCUAUUAUAAAUGACGCUAUUUUAAAAAAUUCCUUUUCCAAUGGUUUACUGCAGCCAUAGAGAAAUAAAAUUGAAUUUCUGUAUGUAGACCGUGUAUCCUUCAGAAAAAAAGUUUUCUUCAAAAAAAGUCCUUAGAGUUUUCCUACCUAGUCGAUCUGGUCUUUAGUGAAUAAAGACAGUUUUACUCCUUUUUUUUUUUUGGCCACGCCCACAGCAUGUGCAAAUUCCCAGGCCAGGGAUUGAACCUGAGCCACAGAGCAGGGACCACACUGGAUCUUGAACUUGCUGAGCCACCCUGGAACUCCAGUUAUACUCUUUCUUUUCCAAUCUAAAGAUUUUUUUGCCUAACUGCACGGUCUGGGACCUCCCAUAGGACAGCGGGCCAAUCAAAAUGAUGAGUGCGUAGUGAGAGGCUGUCCCUGGAAAAAGCUGCAUGAAGGGAACACAGCAGCACUACACCUGUGUGCAACUUCUUCGCGGUUUAAAAUGACUUCAAAAUAAAAAGUUCAGUGGCAGGGAAACAGCGGAGAAAGCUAACAUUCUUGCCUUACUCCCAGGCUUCAAAGGAGAAACAGUCUUUCCAAAAAAAAAGAAGAAUGAUUAACUGCAGGUUUUUCACAGAUGCCCUUUAAAGAAGUUCCUUUUUUUUUUUUAAUGCACAUUUAAAAAAAUUAAAGAAUGGUUGAUAAGAAGUUCCGUUUAUUCCUAGUUUACUAAAAGUGUUCUGCUUGUUUUUACAUCAAAAGUGAGUACUGGAUUUUGUCGAAUGCCUUUCCUGUGUCUUUUGAGAUUAUAUCGUUUUUCUUCUUAGCUCUUAACGUGGUAAAUGAUGUGGAUUUUAGAAUAUUAAACCAAACUUGCAUUCUUGGGGUAAAUCGCACUUUGUCGUGAAGUGUGACAUUUCAUUUUUGUAUGUUCUUGGAUUCAACUGGCUAAAUUUUUGCCAAGGAUUUUUGCCUCUAUGUUCUUGAAACACUGGUCUAUAUUUUUCUUUUAUACUUGUCUGCUUUUAGUAUCGGGGUGGUGGUGUCCUCAUAAAACGAACUGGGAGGAGCUCCCAGUUCUUAAAAUCAUGGAGGAUUUUGUGUUGGUUUGUUACGACCUCUUCCUUAAAUGCUUGGAACAAUUUACCAUUUGGGCUUGGAAUUUUCUUUUGCGUGAGGGCAUUUUGCUUUUGCUUUGCUCAAAUCUUUUAACAAUUUGAUUAAGGUGCAAUUUACCUUGAAAUUUACCAAUUUAAAGCAUAAGAAGAUGGGAUUACCACUUGGAAGGAAAUUAAUCUCAUUUUUUCCACCCCUGUCCUGGGAGACCUUUAACUGCAUGCCUGAGUGCCAGGCAGGCAUGAGUUGCUGAAGUCCAGUGUACUUCAGCUUCUUAAAAGUCAAGAGCUGAUUUCCGGCCCCUCCUUCCUCCUGCGCUGCUCCUCACUUGCUGCUCUGGCCUCAGCCGACGAGCUCCGGCUUCCCAUCCCACCCGCCUCCUGGGACUGUUCUCCAGAGCAUCGCCAAGAACACCACGUCCCCUCGGGGCUCGGCCCACGGACAUGCCUCAGACCCUUGUACUUGACCUUCUGCAGAGCUUGCUGGUUGACCCUCUUCCCUGGCUGUCCCGGUCCCCACAGGAAACAGGCGGCUCUUUAUAAGGCGUGCGUAACCGGGGGUAGGGACACCACAGGUGCAGCUGGGAUCUGGAGCUAUCGCCACUCCUGGGUCGGAAGGGACAGCGGCAGUGCAGGAGGCAGCCCUGGGGAGGGAACCGGGGCCUCCCAGCUCACCCCUCACCUUCUGCCAGUCUGGGCCCAUCCAGAGGGCACUAACGGGUGUGACUCAGGCAGCCUCUGGGGACGCAGAGCAGGGCAGAGGGAUGGAGAAGGAGGGUGAUUCCACCCACCCCGAUGUCCUCCAGAAAAGGCCUCUCCUUUACCAGCCUCUCAGGGCAUCCUGGGCCCCGUGGGUCCUGCGGGAUGAUCUCCUUUGUUCCGAAGGCCCAUCAGGCACCGUAAUGACACCCACACCAGUUCAGACCUCUCACGGGAGCUCCAAUCUCCGGUACGUCCAACAAAAUGGGUGCGUGGGGGAUAGGUAAGUGUCAGGUAAUUUUCUACGCCCCUUCUGUGUAUGGAUUCACUUACUGUUCACGAGAGCUCUGUGAAGUGGCUCCGUUACGCUCACCCUUGAUUACAUGGAAGUGUCAGAGCCAGGACUGGAAUCGGGGGGUGACUCAGAGCCUAUGUUCUUUUUUUUUAAGGCCGUACCUGCAGCAUAUGGACAUUCCCAGGCUAGGGGUCAAAUUGGAGCUGUACACCAAAUUGGAGCCUACACCACAGCCACAGCAACCCUGGACCUGAGCCGCAUCUGCGACCUAUGCCACAGCCUGCAGCAACGCGGGAUCCUUAACCCACCGAGCGAGGCCAGUGAUUGAACCCACAUUCUCACAGAGACUGCAUCGGGUGCUUAACCCACUGAGCCACAAUGGUUACUCUUAGAGCCACUUAACCCCUCUGAUCAAAGGCGCAUCUUCAGACUUCAGGAAAAGUUGGGCUAGGUGACAUGGUUUCCAGAAAGCCUUAGUCAGCAAAGGUCCAUGGGUCCCUGUCCCAGGAACUCUCAUGGCACAUCGGAGGCCUGUGCCUAGAAGGCUCCAGCUUGCUCCUCGCCAGGACCACCUCCCAUCCCCCGAGGGAGCGCGUCCUUCCCUGAAUAGCCAAUACAGACCAGAAGACAAAGAGAAUUCACUUUAUUGUUUACAAAACAAUGGCUCCAGCAGGAAGGAAAACAAUCAUUAACCUUAGAGCAGCGAGUGUAAAGGCUAGAUUUAAAAUAACUGAAAAUCUUCGACCGUGUGGAAGGGGUGCUUCGGGGCGCCUUGGCCGUGGGUCUCAGCUCAGUGACUGCCCCGAGUCCUCCAACCGUCCUGAUGCCAUCUCCGUAUUUUGAAAACCACACAAGCCCAAUGUCCUGGACCUUCCUCGAGGAGGUGGGUCAGGAAGCUUUCGGGCUAUGUCCAGUGACAGCCAGUUCUGGAGAAGUGUGUCACGUUCAAAAAGCUUGUUUUCUGUUCUUCUGUGACUUGUUUCAUAGAUGAAGGAACACAACCAGCGCAAGAACAAGGGGUCCUUCCUGGCUCCAAGCGGCGGUGUCAGAGGUUCGAAGUGGGAGAAGUCGGUGAAACGGGGUCCGCAUGGUGACAGCCAGAGCCUGAGAGCCGCCCCCCCCCCACCAUCACCAACUCUACAUUCUGCUGGGGGUGAGGUAGCUUCUGCGCGAGGGCACCACAGGCUGAUGGCAGCUGCCCUUGUCGGCUUCCGCUCUGGCCGACCUCUGCACCGGACCCUCUGCCUUCACCCUGGAUCGUGGAGAAGAGGCCACAGGGACCGAGACACGUCGAGGUGUGCAUGAAGGGUUCCAGGGAGAAGAGACUGCAAAACUCCCCCAGGGAAGAGGCGAAAGCAAAGACAGACACUGCAGCGCCAGGCAGGCCCAUCCGCACCUCCGGUAAAGGCGCCCAGCGCCCGUGCUGGUGCAGGGCCGCCAGAACCCAGGGCCCCACUCGGGCAGGAAGUACAAAUUCCAGUCACUCGCGGCAGUCUUCAAAGGCGUGGCGUUUCUGACAGUCGCGAGGAAAAGGCCAAGCAUCCUCACCCUCAGCUUGGUGUCCUUGGGCCAAGGACUAAGAAACGCCUGGAAGUGCCUUGCCAACUGGAACUGCUUAACUGCCAUUUCUUGGAAUGAAUUUGUUGACUGCAAGACUCUGCUCUGCUAAGACUUGGCGAUUCCAUUUUAUAAGAAGGGAAACUACUGUCAUUAAUAUAUGUUAAUAAUUAAAACUUCAAAGUGCUACACAG
rnacentral:lncRNA from 1 species